rnacentral:rRNA from 1 species
GUCGAGCGAACAGAUAAGGAGCUUGCUCCUUUGACGUUAGCGGCGGACGGGUGAGUAACACGUGGAUAACCUACCUAUAGGACUGGGAUAACUUCGGGAAACCGGAGCUAAUACCGGAUAACAUAUUGAACCGCAUGGUUCAAUAGUGAAAGGCGGCUUUGCUGUCACUUAUAGAUGGAUCCGCGCCGUAUUAGCUAGUUGGUAAGGUAACGGCUUACCAAGGCAACGAUACGUAGCCGACCUGAGAGGGUGAUUGGCCACACUGGAACUGAGACACGGUCCAGACUCCUACGGGAGGCAGCAGUAGGGAAUCUUCCGCAAUGGGCGAAAGCCUGACGGAGCAACGCCGCGUGAGUGAUGAAGGUCUUCGGAUCGUAAAACUCUGUUAUCAGGGAAGAACAAAUGUGUAAGUAACUGUGCACAUCUUGACGGUACCUGAUCAGAAAGCCACGGCUAACUACGUGCCAGCAGCCGCGGUAAUACGUAGGUGGCAAGCGUUAUCCGGAAUUAUUGGGCGUAAAGCGCGCGUAGGCGGUUUUUUAAGUCUGAUGUGAAAGCCCACGGCUCAACCGUGGAGGGUCAUUGGAAACUGGAAAACUUGAGUGCAGAAGAGGAAAGUGGAAUUCCAUGUGUAGCGGUGAAAUGCGCAGAGAUAUGGAGGAGCACCAGUGGCGAAGGCGACUUUCUGGUCUGUAACUGACGCUGAUGUGCGAAAGCGUGGGGAUCAAACAGGAUUAGAUACCCUGGUAGUCCACGCCGUAAACGAUGAGUGCUAAGUGGNUUA